rnacentral:snoRNA from 1 species
UGCAGUCUUGUCAAAUUCAGUGUUUCCUCUUCAGUGGACCACACUGGCCAAAAUGGCUGCAACAGUGAAUAAGUAGUCUAUGGGCCCCAUGUUCUUCUGUAAAAUGAGUCCUGGGGAUAGAAAAAAGUCUACUAACAUGC